CAACAGCUGAGAAAAAACGUUUAGAGAAAAGGCAAAGGAUGUCAAGGAAAAUACAAGAAAGUGGUUGGAAAGCAAGAUGGUUCAAAAGAGAAGGUGAAGAUGGACCUUUUCACUACAUGGGUGGCUAUUGGGAGGCACGUGAGAAAGGAAAAUGGGAUGAAUGUCCCAACAUAUUUGGUGAAAUUCAUGAACCUACCUCUUCCUCUUCCUCUUCCUCUUCCUCUCACCUCUUACUCAAAAAAACUUAAUUCCAACAAGAAGUCAUGUAAUGAGAUAGUCAUGAUCAUGUCAUUUAGGUUAGGAAAAAAUAAUAAAAUUGAUAUAGGUAUUUUAAUUCCAACAACAUAUUUCAGUUUUUUUUUUCUUUUCGAAGUCGAUCCUUCAGAAUGUGAAAUUCGAAUGGAUUCAAUUAAGACAAGGAAAAAUAAAAAGGAAAAAAGGAAAAAUUAACCUCAAAGUAGGAAUAUGAACAAGGAUUAUAGUUAAUAAUCUUCUUCUUCUCCACUUUAUACUCUAUCGGUUGAUAAAUGAAAUUUUUUAUUUAUGAUUA